AAGUGAGUGCCACCCAGUCUCCAAUUCAGAAGCAGCCAUCUUGUGACUCUUGUCUCCUGCCGGCUUUUGAUAUGACGCCGAGCUCCCCUGUCGCAACCUGAACAACCCUUCUAUCUAGAACUGUAGCCAUUCUCUAGAGCUGGUCAGGACACUGCACAAAUAGAGAGAGAGAGAGAGGAGGCCGAAGCAUCAGUAUUCCUGGCAACUUCGGGGGAGAGCAGGUGCAGCUCCCUUGUGUGCUCUUGUUAUGCACCACCGAAGCAUCAGAGCAGCAAGAGCAUUGAGGGAAGAGAGGGCGCAAAGGACAGCGAGGCUGUGAAUGGGAAAUUAGCUGGUCAUGCCAAUGGCAGAGGUGCAUCUCAUAAACCAUGCACACAGCCUCAUCCUGUCCCCCUAAAGAGCAGUCUCAAGAAACCAAGCAGAGUGGGAGAGCAGCGGCGGCAGCAGGAGGAGGAGGAGGAGGAGGUGAUGGGGAAGGAUGGGAGGAGGAAAGUGAGCUGGCCUGAUGCUCAUGGCAGGGACCUUGCCCACGUCCAGGAAUUCCACCCGAGGUUCAAAGUUACAUUCGACAUUUUAUGACCCUUAAUUUGUCGAUCAACUUCUGAACUGAAGCAUGUUAUUGAAGGCUCGAUCUUAUCUGAUGUACUGCUAUGGGAUCUUUACAAUGUGCUGGAAGAGGGGAAGUUUAAGGGAGUGGGAGGGUCUUGCAUUUGUGUCAUUCAGUGAAGAAGGUGAUCAGAAAGAGAUUGGCCAUCAAAAGGAAGAGUGUGAUACAUGUAAACUGUCAAAGUGGCAAAGAGAAACAUCAUUCCCAGGCUAAUAAAGAUUCUGAAGGUAACAAGCUGGUCAUCGACAAGAAAAAAUAGAUGCUGGUACAAUUCAUGGGAGGAUUGCAUUCAGUAGGCAAUGGCUUGUAAACGCUAUACUCUCCUCUGGAGCCUUCCUGACCAGAAACUGAUCCUGGGUUGUUGUGAAAGCCUUGUGCUGUUGUACAGACGUUUUGCAAAUGUGUAAAUAAUUAGCCUCCUGAUCAGCUGUGAGGCCCUCCUAAGAUAUCAUUGAUGGCUGUGGAGGAAGACCUGGAUAACAUCUUCAUAAAUUGCAGCAUUCCAAGGGAUUUGUAAGUCAUACAUAUCUUGAUCUCUGACUCGAUUUCCAAUACUCACCCUGAAUGAACAUUCUACCUGAUAGCAUAUGUGUUUUUGAAAGAACUUUAAAAUAGUUUUUUGUGGGUUUAAGCCAAAACUCAUUUAAGGGGAAUUAUGGAUUGAUGAAAUCAAAUUAUGCAUGGAAAGAAGCAUAAGAACUAACUUGCCAAAAUUCUAGAUCACACAAUUGCAUAUUUUACUAUCUGAGCUGCUUUUAUUUAACAUAAAUUAAAAUCUGCCAUGCCCUUCAAUCACUCAUCUCAGGCAGAAUAAAACAGAACUGAGCUGCCUUGGCUGGAUAGGAUCUCAAUAUCAAUUUUAAGAGGACAUGCAAAAAAUCCACCAGCAAGACCGGUAAACAUCCGAUGUAAGGUGCUCAAAAGUUCUCAUCUUUGCGCAGGAAGGAACCGAGGGUUUUCUUGCAGAUGGCUUGAAAUUAAGCUGUAAAAUAAUUAAGGACUGCGGAGCUAAUGAAGCUUAUGUAUUAUUUAAUUGGAAGGGGAUGACCAGGACUGCUAGGUACUUAAAGAAAAUAGGACUGAAACUUAAAAAAUAACAUAACUUUUUUCUCAAAAGGAUAUAUGGCAUAAUUCACUGGCAACUGCAUACCAAGCAAAUCUGGCUGUACACUUCAUAGCCGAGAUAGCAAAGUAUCUGAUGAUCUGAUUACCAAAUGUAAGCUUUCUCCAGUAAUUCUGAAAAGAAUAUAAACACCAACACAAAAUGACAGCCCAUCCCAUUCAAUGAGUCUGUGAUAAACUAGCAAUGCAACCCGGCCACCCACUUGAAAGUUAAAUACAGCUGCAUAUUUUCUCAUCACCCACAAAUGGAAACCGAAGAGGUGGUAUCCCGAGCUACAAAAUAUGAAUAAAAAGCGAAACAAAUGUAAAUCCACCAAAAAACAGCAAGGGUAAGCUUCUUUAAGCAAUCAUUAAUAUCAUAACUUUAUGGACCAUGCCAUGACUUAGUCUGAAGUGAAAGGGAAGAGUUGAUGCUGUCCAAUCUGCAUAUUUUGGGUUCGGUCACCAUCAAGUUCAAACACCUGCAAUCCUGAAGGAGCCAAGAUUUAGCUGUCAGCCUGGGAUGCCUUGGACACCCAUAUUGCAUGUUAGCGCCUAUGAUGGAUCUUUCCCUUGUCAAAAAGUAGAAAUAAAUUACAAAAAAAAAAAAAAAAACCAACGGUAGUUCACCUAUAAGCUUUGAGUAUAAAAUUAGGUAAUCAGCGGAAACCAUGCAAAUCUGUAUAUGAUCUUCAAACAAAAUGCCUUUUGGCUAUGCUCGAUUAACAGGGCUCGUCAACCAAAUCCUGAGCUUGUAUCUUGUAAAAAGAAAUCAAAAGAUCACUGAAGUAGUUUUUGCAGCUGGAUCUGACAUCAGGAGAUGCACUACUUAAUAAUUUAAAAAACCAGGGAAUAUCUUUAUAACUGACACCUGAAAUCACUGCAAUAGAACAGCUGUGUUUGAAAUGCCUUACAAAUGUCAUUCUGUACAUUUGAUGAAUGCCACUUGGGCAUGUUUCACCAGUAAAAUAAUUUUUUAGAAGACCAAACCAGAUGGUGCAAGCAUCCAGAUCAGGCUCGCAACCACUAAGCUUUAAUUAUCCAUACCAAGUCUACAUAUAAGUAUAUUUAUCAUUACAGAA